UACCCAAUGAAAACAGUUUCGAGGUAGUGACGAGAAAUAACAAUACAGGGCAUUUUUUGUUCUGUAAUUGGAAUGAUGGGAAUGUAAAACCCUUUCAGAUUAACAAUUGGAGGGCAAGUCUGGUGCCAGCAGCCGCGGUAAUUCCAGCUCCAAUAGUGUAUAUUAGAGUUGUUGCAGUUAAAAAGCUCGUAGUUGGAUUUCUGCCGUGGUCAUCCGGUUCCGCCUGUAUGGGUGUGCGCCUGGUUUGCCCUCGGCUUUCUUCCGUUAGCCUUCGGCGCUUCACUGCGUCUGUUGGUGUUUCGGAACUUUUACUUUGAGAAAAAUAGAGUGUUUCAAGCAGGCUUGUCGCCCUGAAUACUUCAGCAUGGAAUAAUAAGAUAGGACCUUGGUUCUAUUUUGUUGGUUUCUAGGACUAAGGUAAUGAUUAAUAGGGACAGUUGGGGGCAUUCGUAUUUAACUGUCAGAGGUGAAAUUCUUAGAUUUGUUAAAGACGAACUACUGCGAAAGCAUUUGCCAAGGAUGUUUUCAUUAAUCAAGAACGACAGUAGGGGGUUUGAAGACG
rnacentral:rRNA from 1 species